AGUGAACGCUGGCGGCAGGCCUAACACAUGCAAGUCGAACGGCAGCACAGUAAGAGCUUGCUCUUAUGGGUGGCGAGUGGCGGACGGGUGAGGAAUACAUCGGAAUCUACUUUUUCGUGGGGGAUAACGUAGGGAAACUUACGCUAAUACCGCAUACGACCUUCGGGUGAAAGCAGGGGACCUUCGGGCCUUGCGCGAUUAAAUGAGCCGAUGUCGGAUUAGCUAGUUGGCGGGGUAAAGGCCCACCAAGGCGACGAUCCGUAGCUGGUCUGAGAGGAUGAUCAGCCACACUGGAACUGAGACACGGUCCAGACUCCUACGGGAGGCAGCAGUGGGGAAUAUUGGACAAUGGGCGCAAGCCUGAUCCAGCCAUGCCGCGUGGGUGAAGAAGGCCUUCGGGUUGUAAAGCCCUUUUGUUGGGAAAGAAAAGCAGUCGGCUAAUACCCGAUUGUUCUGACGGUACCCAAAGAAUAAGCACCGGCUAACUUCGUGCCAGCAGCCGCCGUAAAAC
rnacentral:rRNA from 1 species